rnacentral:misc_RNA from 1 species
AGCAUUCUUUGUCCCAUCAGGGGCUGGGUUGAGCGCCCAGUAUGCAAAAGCGUCUAGCGUGGAGCCCAAAUCUGCUGGGUUAAUCAACCAACUCACCAUGAACGCUGGUGUCUUUGGUGAUCCCAGGUAUGACCCCACUUCAUUCCCACAUCUUUUUUUACUAAUUUUUGCACUUGAAGGUGAAAACAUCUUCUUCCAGAUGACAAAAGUAUCCUAGAAUUAGCUUUUUGGAACAAGAAAAAGGGCAGUGGAAAUAGUAAUUUUUCUUGACUUAAGUAAACAACCAGCAAGACGACGUCAUAGCAGUAUGCAACUGUCUUCCACUUUUUCUAUGGGUGCACGUGAUCAUGCGUGUGCGUUGGGAAUCUAGCUAAGGACUAAACAGCUUUAUAUCAGUUCAUUUGUCUGAGUCUCGGCUUUUCUUUAAUUUUUUGACCGUUGGAGGGUGCAUGUAGGUAGUGUCGUGUGGUUUGAAACCUGUGGCUGUGGACCACUCCAAGACUAUGCACUUUUGGCAUUGGAAAUUGCUCUUAAAUUGUAGCACUCUUGACUUGGUUAACAGCUAAUUGGGUUAUCAACAAUCAUAAUUUUUUUGGUCUGGAAGAGUUUGAAUCAUAAUUGUAACAUAAUUUGAAAAUUUGCCCAAAUAACUCCUUUUGGACCUUUUGGUCAAAGUGAUGUGUGCUGCAUGUUGCAUUUGCAGUGGAAUGGGCGAGUGGGGAUUCUUGUGUCCAUGUCAAAAGGGCCAUAUCGUCAUAGAGAAAAACAUGCAUGUGGGUUAACAGAAUAGCAGAGAAAAAUAAAGUGUUGGUUGCAAAAGGGUAGGCUUUUUUUUUUAGUACAAUUAGAGCUGUAGGAGACCCACAUAGGUCAUGCAGUUGGUGAUUAACGUUAAGGUGUUUGUCUGGGAAGGCGACUCUGUUAUAUUCCUCUUAGCUGCUUUCCAGCCAAUAUAUGAACUUUUUUUAUAUAAAAUUGAAGGGUCCCACUUCUGAUUUGAUAUUAACUGGGACACAGGCAACUAGCCAAUGUCAGAGUUUUGGGAAAGGAGCCUUUUUCUCCUCCUUGUGGGUCUAUUGGUAUUCGGCUGGAUUUUUUUAUUGACUUUUGAUCACCUAGAUUCAUAAAUUAUCUAGUUGGUCUAGUUGGAUAUCGGGAGUUGCAAUAAUGCACUCUGGUUUCUCUGCAAUUGCCACUUGUUAGAUUCUCAUUACAUGAUUCUAUAACUUGGUGAUUGUGUUCGGAGCUUGUUUUGUAUAUUCUCAAAUCUACACGUAUAUUUGUCAAAACUCAUCUUUUGAUUUGUUUUAGAGAAGGAAAAAAAAUCAGAAAAUGGAAGGAAAGGGAAAGAAAUGUGUCAAACUUUUUACUUAUUUUUCUAGGCAUUUUCUAAAAUUUUCAGUUACCAUGUUCAUACCUGGAGUUAUUUAACCAUUCCAUUUCCCAGCAUCCAUGUCCUUUUCUUUCUUCAUUUUCUUUAGGGUAAAUUAUUAUUAAUUUUUUAUUUUUGAGUUGUGUCAAAAUUGACACGACAUUCUUUUUAGUUUGAUGGAGUCGAAAUAAUAGUAGCUGUUCCUAUUUGUGCAUAAAAAGCAAGAACAAUGAUCAAGAGUCCAGAAGAAAAGCUUUCUUUUAAGCUAGUAAGCAUUUGAGGAAUGUGAUAUGGAAUACAAGUCAUUAUAAUCAUCAUUAUCAUUAUUAUUGUUAUUAUUAUUAU